AAUGUAUAUUAUUAAUUCUUACAAAAUUUUUCAGCAAUUUUUGCAUACAUUA
rnacentral:tRNA from 1 species